ACACCCCUCACCCUCUCACCCGCACUUCUCCUCUCGUCCCACAGCCGCCACCCCCAACCCUCUCGCUCCUCCUCCGUCUCAAUCUCUCGAUCCCCAACCACCGCCGCCACCGUCCUCCGCCUCUCCCCCAACCCCAGUCGUCGGCGACCCCUCCCCUUCCCUUCUCUCCCACGGCCGCGGUCGGAUCCGCGCUCCCUCCUCGCUCGUGACCUGGACCUAGCCGCAUGGCACGGCCAUGGCCAUGGCAGCGGCCAGAUCCACCCCCUCCCCUGCUCUGUUCCCUCGACACCCGGUGGUCAUUCUCCCUUAUGCCACCUGCCCCCCUUCUUCCUCCCGCGGCAGCUCACCCGCAGCCUUCCCCGUGGCUCUAGGGUUUUGGGGGCGGCGGCGCCUCCAUUGCCGGCAUGGCUCCGGUGACUCUACAGUCUCCUCCCCGACAUCUACUGCGCUGAGACAGCCGUGUCUCUGACUUGCCGCUUCCCCAGUGGCUGCUACUGGACCCGAUCCCUCCUCGUUGCCUGUAUGCUUCCUCGACUCUCCCUCCUCCCCAACAAGGCCGCCGUCGGACACCUUCUUCCCCGACAGCGCCGAUGGAGAUCCACUCCUCCAUUUUCUUCUCACGGUUGUCCGCAGCAUAUAUGACUCAGAUCUGACAUUUUUGUUGUGUGUCUGGUUUUUCAGGAUGUGGGUGGUGCAGUGGCUGCAAGAACACGCUCGGCAGCGUCUAGGCCGGGUCGACUAGGGCGGCCGACAGCGGUGGCUACUUCCUUACAAGGACUGCAAGCUCGCCCACGACUACACGACCCUCCAGGUCUCGUCUGCAUGCCCGCUCCCUCCUCCCUGCCUCCUCAAGGUAGGCCGCAAGCGGACUUGACAAGCUUAUGAGUUCAGCAUAUGAGCUCUCUGACAUUUACCAUGUGCCGUGUUAUGUUCAGCUUCUUAUGUGUCAUGGAAAUGUCCUUGUGUUGCAUAGUAGGCCCUGAAUUAUUCAUGUUGCUGGCGAUGAGAUGUCCCUAUUUUGCUCUGUACUAUGCACUGCUAUAUUUAUAGUUUGAAAGCGUGAGUUUAAAAGAUGUCCCUGUUUAAUAUUGAUGAGGUGUCCCUGUUUUGCUUCUUAUAGUUUGAAAGCUAUAAUGGUCAGUAAUUUGGGGCAUCUCUUCUAAGUGAUGUUGAAUGUCACCUACACUUGCUUCGUGUCAAUACGACCAAGGAUUUUGUUAUCUGGAACUGUAACUGUUGGCAUAGAUACUGACUGUGGUGGCAUAGUGCGACGUCUCACAAGGUGGAUUCAGAUUUGGUUGUCACGGUGCACAAGUGGUGGGGUUACCCAAUGUUGGCAAAUCAACUUUCUUUAACAUAGUAACAAAGGUGGGCUCCCGCGCCGGCAACUCCAGCUUGCGGUGAAGAAGAGAAAGGCUGAGAAGGACCCCAACGAGCCCACGCGCCCCAAGCGCUUUCUUCAUCUUCAUGUGAGCCCCAGCCUCGGUUCCUUGUUCGAUUCAUGUUGCUUCUAUGGUGUGGCGUCGCGUCCUGGCCGAGGAUUUGGUUCGUGUUUCGUCUUCGCAGGGACAACUUCAGGAAGGAGUACAAGGAGAAGCACCCCGACGUCAAGCAGGUCUCCAUGAUUGGCAAGGCCGGUGGUGAGAAGUGGAAGUCCAUGAGUGAUGCUCAGGUGCUCUGCUCUUGCACACGUCUGGCACCGUCUCCGGCGCGGUGGUCCUUCUUGAGGAGACCGGCAUGAUGGCGGCUGUGUACAUGAAGCCCUCCG